AACGAACGCUGGCGACAGGCCUAACACAUGCAAGUCGAACGCUCCGCAAGGGGAGUGGCAGACGGGUGAGUAACACGUGGGAAUCUUCCUAUCGGUACGGAAUAGCUCAGGGAAACUUGGGGUAAUACCGUAUACGCCCGAGAGGGGAAAGAUUUAUCGCCGAUAGAUGAGCCCGCGUCAGAUUAGCUAGUUGGUGAGGUAAUGGCUCACCAAGGCGACGAUCAGUAGCUGGUCUGAGAGGAUGAUCAGCCACACUGGGACUGAGACACGGCCCAGACUCCUACGGGAGGCAGCAGUGGGGAAUAUUGGACAAUGGGCGCAAGCCUGAUCCAGCCAUGCCGCGUGAGUGACGAAGGUCUUCGGAUUGUAAAGCUCUUUUGGCGGGGACGAUAAUGACGGUACCCGCAGAAUAAGCCCCGGCUAACUUCGUGCCAGCCGCCGCGGUAA
rnacentral:rRNA from 1 species